GUUUUCGGAAGCACAGGCUGAGCCUCCCUGCGGUAUGGGGUGAGGCGGAGGUGGGGCUCCCGGGAGGCCUUCCCUCCGGCAGUUAGGCUGCUCAGCCCUGCCCCGCCUGGCAGGGUGUGCCCAGGCCUGCAGCCCCAUUCCAGGGCUGGAGCCCACCGGGGUUCCCCUGGGACCCUGGGAGGAAGUCUGCCUGGUGGCCCCAUCGCCGGGGUCCUGCUGUGCUCCUGACGACAGAGCCUGGGCAUGUCCCCCCUGGCAUCUGGGCCUCAGUUUCCUGCCCCAUAGGUUGGGUGCCGCUUCACUUCCCAGCCCGACCUUCAAGACCCUCGUGGGUACCCAAGAGGAUCACAUGUGGAUAAGCUGCGUCCCCAACCACUGGUGAGUGACCUGGCCUUGGCAGCAGAAGAGGGCUAGAAGCAGGUGUGCGGCCCUCCAGUGCACCUGCUCCCUGGGCCGCCUGACCCCCAGGCAGCCGCACCCCAAAGAUCUGACAUGAAGGCUUCCUUCCCUUGGUCAAGCAUAAAGCUGCCCCAGAGGCCCCCAGACCCUCUGAGACCCUCAGGACACAGCGGCUCCUCCCAGAAGUGGGUGGGCCCGUCUGCUGGUCAGGGCUGGGUCUGUCUGUACCCGUUGCCUUAGAGCAUCCUCACGGAUCAUCUGCUACUGAGAUAGGCAGAUGGCAGCCACGCUGGUGGAGUAUGGGGUUCCCCAGGCCCGCCCUGCCCCUCUCUCUCCUGCCUGCCUCCUUUGCUCCCACCCCAACCUCCAAGCCACCCAGCCUCCCACAUCUGGGCCUCCCACAUCCCCAGGCUCCGGCUAGACCCACCCCAUUUGGUCAUCUACAAUGCCAAGACCCAGGCCAGGCCAGACUCACCGCCAGCCCUGGGGAGGAGGGGCUGGGCCAUCCUACUGGCCUCUGCCUGCCAGGACCCUGCUCCCCAUCGGGCUCGGAAGCUCACUGUACCUCCAGCCUUGCUCCAGAUGCCACCCUCGGGACACACGUGGCCCUCACCUGGCUGGCCCUGGCCUUUCCUGCGCUCACUGGCCAGUCCUGAUCAUCCUACUCUUGCACUGGGCCUGCUCUGCCUGCCCUGUGAGCAAACAGGGGCCUGGGAGCCUGGCACUUCCCUGGGUUGUUGGUUCUGCUGAGAAGUCUCUUAGGGGACAUAAAGAACUGGCACUAUCUGAACCUUGCCUUGCAAAAUAGGUGACAGAAUAAUGCCACCGGCCAUAGCAACAGCCAGGGCUCCUGAGGCUGCAGAGCCAGGGCCCAGCCUACUGGGCCUCUUCCCCAGCCCGUACUCUGUGCCUCUCGGGCCUGCUUGUCCUGGGGCUCGUGAGGACAGUGAGGGGUGCCCACCCUGGAGAGCCCUGUUGACCUGGCCCAC
rnacentral:lncRNA from 1 species